AGUGAACGCUGGCGGUAGGCCUAACACAUGCCAGUCGAACGGCAGCACAGUAAGAGCUUGCUCUUACGGGUGUCGAGUGGCGGACGGGUGAGGAAUACAUCGGAAUCUACUUUUUCGUGGGGGAUAACGUAGGGAAACUUACGCUAAUACCGCAUACGACCUACGGGUGAAAGCAGGGGAUCUUCGGACCUUGCGCGAUUGAAUGAGCCGAUGUCGGAUUAGCUAGUUGGCGGGGUAAAGGCCCACCAAGGCGACGAUCCGUAGCUGGUCUGAGAGGAUGAUCAGCCACACUGGAACUGAGACACGGUCCAGACUCCUACGGGAGGCAGCAGUGGGGAAUAUUGGACAAUGGGCGCAAGCCUGAUCCAGCCAUACCGCGUGGGUGAAGAAGGCCUUCGGGUUGUAAAGCCCUUUUGUUGGGAAAGAAAAGCAGCAGGUUAAUACCCCGCUGUUCUGACGGUACCCAAAGAAUAAGCACCGGCUAACUUCGUG
rnacentral:rRNA from 1 species